AGAAAAUAGACCCCAACCUAAAUGACUUUAUGGUGAGCAGCAUUUGGGGGGUUUUACAGACUUCUUUCUUUGUUUUAACAUCAAGCUGUAACUGUAAAAUUUAUCUUAAGGUUGUAUUUCACAUGUUGAACCAGGUUUUUAUUGUCGAGUCCAACUGAUUUGUCGACUUUCCCCAAACAGAUGAGCUUCACUCAUUUCAGACGCAUUGAUCCAAAAGAGGCUCUCUGAUUGGGUGUUGAACGAGCUGUGAAAAUGUGUUGUGAAUGUUUUUUCUGUCUGUUCUGAUUAUUAAUCAUCUGUUGCUAACUGAUCUGUUUUAUUAAAAUGUAGAGACGGCACCAUCUGCCUUUCUGGAGUCUUCCUGAACUUUAAAAUCUGUUUGUUUUAUGUUUUCCUCAUCAGACCUGAUCCAGAGGAACAACCGGUGGCCCAGUAAGAAAUCUGUGAAGGUUCUCAGUCAUCCAGGUCAUGGUAGAAGAUACUAGAAGACGUUUCGUCCCUCAUUCAAGAGACUUCUUCAGUUCCAGAACCUUUGUUGGAUGGGUGGCCCAAGUUGGUGAAGAUAACGUUCAGACAGCCAAUAGAAUCAGUGCAGGAAAGUCACAUGGAGUCUUCCCACAUAAAUGUUCCUGUUGGUCAAAAUGAGUUAAAUUAAAGAGACGACGGACCUGCUGGGCUCCUCACACCAGGCCUUCUUCACCAGGAAGACGACGAAGCUGAGGAAGAGGAAGAUGGAGACGGCGAUGAUGCCAGUGAGCCACUGAGGCAGCAGACGCUCGCUGAUCUGAGUCUGAUCUGCAACACAAGCACACAGAGAGUUCACACAGCUCGUACCUGUCUGGGCCGCCACGACUCCGACUGUCAGCAACAAACUGGAAAUCACUGCACAAAGUUUGGCCAUCGCUGGUUCUCCGCUCUGACUGAAGAAAAAACAACAGACGUUAAAAAACUUCGCACAAGUUUAAAGCUGAAGCUUCGGAGGUGGAGUUGAAACUAACAGCAGACGAGCAGCUCAGGUGAAGCAGCAGCUGGACCAAAGUGUUGCCUUACAAACCUCUUCCACUUUAAGGCCCCGCUUAUGUUAACAAGGCAGCGAGACUGAGGAGGACUGGACUGUAGAUUUGACUCAUUUUCACAGACAGGGAGACUUAAAAACUCUCUAUACAAGAAAAAAGCAGCUUAAUAUGAUUAUCUUUAUCAAAUUUAUCAAAUAAUUAAUUGGUUGGUUAUCAGGCUGUCCUUAAUUAUCUUUGCAUGCAAAAACCCCAUAAAUUCUUUCCUAAUGUUAUAUAAAAACAUUUACCUUUUAUUGA